ensembl:snRNA RNU6-1172P RNA, U6 small nuclear 1172, pseudogene
AUGCUCUCUUCAGCAGCACAUAUACUAAAAUUGGAAUGAUACAGAGAAGAUUACCAUGGCCCUUGCACAAGGAUGACAUGCAAAUUCAUGUUCACAAAAAUUCAUUU